rnacentral:misc_RNA from 1 species
GGGACUGGGGAUCUUACCUUGAUCGAGGUCACCUGGUUAAGAUUGAUGGUGUUCGCCGGCGGGCGCCGGCCGGGCCUACAGAGCGGGUGACGAAGCCCCAUACGCUCGAGGACCGGACGCGGUGCCGCCGCUGCCUUUCGGGCCCGCCCCCCGGAAGCGGGGGGCGAGAGCCCAACACACAAGCCGUGCUUGAGGGCAGCAAUGACGCUCGGACAGGCAUGCCCCCCGGAAUACCAGGGGGCGCAAUGUGCGUUCAAAGACUCGAUGAUUCACUGAAUUCUGCAAUUCACAUUACUUAUCGCAUUUCGCUGCGUUCUUCAUCGAUGCCGGAACCAAGAGAUCCGUUGUUGAAAGUUUUAACUGAUUUAGUCAAGUACUCAGACUGCAAUCUUCAGACAAGAGUUCGUUUGUGUGUCUUCGGCGGGCGCGGGCCCGGGGGCGGAUGCCCCCCGGCGGCCGUGAGGCGGGCCCGCCGAAGCAACAAGGUACGAUAAACACGGGUGGGAGGUUGGACCCAGAGGGCCCUCACUCGGUAAUGAUCCUUCCGCAGGUUACACUACCGAAAU